UCUGGUCGCAAUUGAGGGAGGAAG
rnacentral:siRNA from 1 species